GUGCUCGAUUCAGCAGCACAUACACUAAAAUUGGAAGGAUACAGAGAUUAGCAUGACUCCUGCACAAGGAUGACACGCAAAUUCGUGAAACAGUAAAGGAGAUG